CGAAACAGCUGCUCCUUUUUUGAGGUAUUUUAGGUGCUGGAGGGGAGAAAGAAUCUGUUUUACGUCAGCUACAAUCCAGAACCCUACCUCAGUGUCUUUAAAGGGCAUGAAACUAGACUAAUCACCACAUUUACACUGAAGGAAGAGGGGUCCAGUUUCAGCAAAGGAAAUUAGUCACUAUGAGUAAAAGGGAACAAGAAUCUGAAAUAAAGGGCAACAGGUUUUGCCAGAACUUAUGAAACAAACUUUCAGAG